rnacentral:tRNA from 1 species
AGGAUAUGUGUAGAAGGUCUACGUUUGGAUUGCAAAUCUAAAAAAAAAGGAUCAAUACCUUGAUAUCCUU